rnacentral:rRNA from 1 species
AGAAUCAACGCUGGCGGCGUGCCUAACACAUGCAAGUCGAACGAGAAAGUGGAGCAAUCCAUGAGUAAAGUGGCGACCGGGUGAGUAACACGUGACUAACCUACCUUCGAGUGGGGGAUAACAUCGGGAAACCGAUGCUAAUACCGCAUAACAUCGCAAGAUCAAAGCAGCAAUGCGCUGGAAGAGGGGGUCGCGGCUGAUUAGCUAGUUGGCGGGUAACGGCCCACCAAGGCGAAGAUCGGUAGCCGGCCUGAGAGGGCGCACGGCCACACUGGAACUGAAACACGGUCCAGACUCCUACGGAGGCAGCAGUGGGGAAUUUUGCGCAAUGGGGGAAACCCUGACGCAGCAACGCCGCGUGGAGGAUGAAGCCCCUUGGGUGUAAACUCCUUUCGACCAAGACGAUAAUGACGGUACUGGUGGAAGAAGCACCGGCUAACUCUGCGCCAGCAGCCGC